AAUGGCAUAUGAUGAAAUCUCAGUUUUAUGCUUAACUCACUGAUUUAACCAUGGUGACUACAUAACUCCGCUUAUUAUCUGAUGCCAAU